GUAAGGAUGAGGAGCCCCGGGCACCAGUCCUUUCUCCGGGAGAAGACACCCUCUGCUCUGGUUGUAGUAAUCCAUCAUCAAAAAGGGGUUGGGGCUGGGGUUCAGUCCCACUACGUCCACGCUUUCGUACAUCAUACGGGCUCCAAAAAAAAGGGGUGGGGGGGUCGUAUUCCCACACACCUCAAAAAAAUAAAAAAAAGAAAUCAAA